AGCGAACGCUGGCGGCAGGCUUAACACAUGCAAGUCGAGCGGGCAUCCUUGUGGUGUCAGCGGCAGACGGGUGAGUAACGCGUGGGAACGUGCCCUUCGGUUCGGAAUAACUCAGGGAAACUUGAGCUAAUACCGGAUACGUGCGAGAGCAGAAAGGUUUAUCUGCCGAAGGAUCGGCCCGCGUCUGAUUAGCUAGUUGGUGAGGUUACGGCUCACCAAGGCGACGAUCAGUAGCUGGUCUGAGAGGAUGAUCAGCCACACUGGGACUGAGACACGGCCCAAACUCCUACGGGAGGCAGCAGUGGGGAAUAUUGGACAAUGGGGGCAACCCUGAUCCAGCCAUGCCGCGUGAGUGAUGACGGCCUUAGGGUUGUAAAGCUCUUUUCUCCGGGACGAUAAUGACGGUACCGGAGGAAUAAGCCCCGGCUAACUUCGUG
rnacentral:rRNA from 1 species